rnacentral:lncRNA from 1 species
CUAAAAUACAAGCGCAAGGGGGGCGAGGAGAGCAGGGUGGGCUGGGUGCUGGAGCGAGUAGGACGUUAACAGCCAAUAGUUUGCACCUGUCCGUCAACUCGCACCACCCACUCAGCGCCGCUCGGGCCAGCGCGGGCGGCCGCUUCGCUGGUACCGCGUUCCUCCGAGGGUCGGGCACCAUGUGGGGGGCGGGCAGCGGAGUGGGGAAGGGGGAAUAAAACCAACCCGAGAGGCCCCGGCCCCGGAGGGGAAUGCAGGAGGGGCGCCUGCACCCUGACCGCGCGCGGCCAGUAGGGGAGGAACCCUGAUCCCAGACCAAAAGCCCGACCUGCCAGGGAGGGGCCGCCAGGGUGUUAGAGAGAGUUCCGGGGUCCGAGACGGCCGGGUUGGGGGAGAGGUUCUGCCCCGGGCCGCUGGGUACCCUUCGGGCCAGCGCCCGUGUCCCGCGUCAUAGUUCGGGGCUGCUCCCUCUCCCGGGAGCGCCGCCCUUGCAGGCUGUGCAGCCUGUUCUAGGCCGUGGGAGAGCACUAAAGAAGACUUUCAAGCCACUCCUCGAAGAGCUUCUGAUCCGUGGGGGAGGUAAGAGAGCCGGAAGCUCUUAAUUGCUUCUAAUAAGAAACCACUUUGAGUAGAAGGGAACGAGAUCUUGUCAGACUUUAAGCAGAGAAAAAAAAGAAG